rnacentral:rRNA from 1 species
AUUGAACGCUGGCGGCAGGCCUAACACAUGCGAGUCGAGCGGAUGAAGGGAGCUUGCUCCUGGAUUCAGCGGCGGACGGGUGAGUAAUGCCUAGGAAUCUGCCUGGUAGUGGGGGAUAACGUCCGGAAACGGGCGCUAAUACCGCAUACGUCCUGAGGGAGAAAGUGGGGGAUCUUCGGACCUCACGCUAUCAGAUGAGCCUAGGUCGGAUUAGCUAGUUGGUGGGGUAAAGGCCUACCAAGGCGGCGAUCCGUAACUGGUCUGAGAGGAUGAUCAGUCACACUGGAACUGAGACACGGUCCAGACUCCUACGGGAGGCAGCAGUGGGGAAUAUUGGACAAUGGGCGAAAGCCUGAUCCAGCCAUGCCGCGUGUGUGAAGAAGGUCUUCGGAUUGUAAAGCACUUUAAGUUGGGAGGAAGGGCAGUAAGUUAAUACCUUGCUGUUUUGACGUUACCAACAGAAUAAGCACCGGCUAACUUCGUG